UUCCGCCUUCCUCGCUGGACAGAUUUCAAAACAGGGCAGCGAGCUCAUAAAAGCGGCCCUGUCCCUGUCGCUGCAUUUUCAACCAACGAUCAGACCAUGAACGGCUCAUCAUCUGGCCCCUAAUUAAUCUCAAAGCGAUUUGGGCAACGGCAGCAUUCUGUGGUUGAGUCUUGUGGCGAACGAGGACGGGAACGGGUUGGGACGCAGUACGGCCGUUCCGAAACGGACAACGAAAGCCUCCGUCACUCCCACCCCCUGUAGAUGAAGAGGGGCGUCCUUUUCCCUUCGAAAGUCAAGAGCCUCUCAGCUCCCUCUUCCCAAAUCACCACAUCUCCUCCUUGGUCCUUCAUUAAGUGCAGCAGCAAAGCAAAAAUAAUUGCAGUUGCACCCAGAUUUCAUACCUUUUUUUGUUGUUGUAUACUUUCCAUUUUCACUUAAAACGAUGGCGAAAACGUUCAGCUUGCAUUUCUGUCAUGUAGGUGUUCACAUUGACUCCUUACCUCUGAUUGGUGCAAAGGAAGAUGAUCAAUUAUAGACACAACGAUGAAGAGCUAGGAGGUGUGAGUCUAAACCAAGAGUAUCUGAUCUUAACCAAAAAUAACCAGUUUGGGUGCAGGGUCUUCUUGCCCAGUACGAAAACACCCCAUUCAAAUCACCUGCACCCACACCGACCCACGUCAGGUAAGACUAGACACCCCUGUGUGUGAUGGAAUGAUUAUGAUAUCCUGUAUCACCCUUUUGGUGUUAAGAGGGUUUGAAAUAUAGGUUAACAAAUGAAACAAACAAAAUCAAUGGCUGCAAAUAUCUUCACAAAAAUAAUGGUGUCCAACAACUCCUGCAUACCAUGUAAAGACAUUAUGUUUGUAAAAGGUUCAAUUCAUGGGAGGCAGUGUACAAUCUUGUAAAUCUUUUUUUUGUUCUUUCCUAGAUCUCUUUCAUGAGCUCAUUAAUUCAGGACUGCGUAAACCUCAACUUUGCCUUGAGCAGAGCCAUUUUUAUUCAUGAUUUCAAACACAAAACUAGUGCUAGAAUUUGUUAUUCAGACCUAAAAUCCAAGGAUUGAGACACAAUAAUGACGUAUAACUGUUCCCGGUAGUCAGGUUAACAUGUAGUGAAAAAAUCUGCUUGCAGUUCGCAGUAACUGAAAAAGGUAUAAAAAUGUGAAGUUCAGAAAAGGCCCAUCUAAACGUACGGAGACAGCAAGCGAGGAAGUGGAGCAGAUUAAUCCAGAAUUUCACCCGACUGCUUUUAUUUUGGUUUAAAGAUUUUAACACUCAACUUUGGGGCACACUGCGUCUCACAGAUCUUAAUAAAUACUAUCAUCGCUAUU